AGAGGAUCUCCUCUCCGGUCUGUAUACUGCACCUCUCUCUGAGUGUACUCUCUUCCCCCGCAAGACGGCAAACCUGCCACCCUCGGGGGUGUGCCGAAUAGAAACACGCGCACUGGCUCACACACACACACACAAACGCACGCGCACAGGGGCAUGGAUGCAUGCACGCCGUUCUUUUUCCUCUUUCGUAUCUUGGUAUUAUAGAAGACACGUUUGACGUGUCAGCCUUCGGUGCCCUCUUCCCUCACCCUCCUGCAGCGCCCCCUUUUCCUUUUGUGUGUGUGCUUGGAUCUUAGUGGCACGGCCUGCUCAUCUGCUGUCUGUCUGUCUGUCUUGACGCCGUCAGUCUUUGGCUAGAGCCCCCUCCCUACUCUUCCUCCCUGUAGCACCCAUACGUCGCGAUCAAGGCGAAAUCCACGUGUAGGCCGCUCCCCGCUCGAUGUGGCGCCGUCACAGGUGUGUCGCCGUCAUCUGAGUAGGGGUGGUAAGUGACACCGUCGCAUAAGACGCCUGGCACACACCCUUCAGCCAUAAUGAUUACCCGUCUGGAUGGUGCGAGCGCGCGCAAGCUUGCUGCGGGACAAGUAAUUACGGACCUCACGAGCGUUGUGAAGGAACUCUCCGAAAACGCGUUGGAUGCGAAGGCCACGACGGUGACUAUUCGACUCAUCAACUACGGUCUCGAUGAGAUUGUCGUUGAUGAUGACGGCACGGGAAUAUCCAUGGGUCAGCUAGUGAACACCGCGGCCAAUGAGCUGCUGGACGGUGCGAGCACGCCUCUGCUAUCGAGCCGCGCCACUACGAAGCAGCGACGGCACGAUCGCGACGGUUGCACUCAUGCGACUGCAAAGGACGAAGCCGACGAGGGUCAGACGAGCCAGGCCGAGAGCGCGUGUGUGGCAGAGGAUGAGGGUGACAGCUCUGAUCCGUCACUUGGUUUCCGCGGGGAAGCGCUCCACUCUUUGGCCCACGUGAGUGAUGUAACGGUAGAGACGCGCAGCGCCGACACUGGUGCCUUGACGGUGCGUAUCUCGUAUGAUCAUACAUCGCACACGUCUCGCCUGGAGGCGGUGCGACUGCGCGAUGUGUGCGGCACCACCGUCACCGCGCGGCAUCUCUUCAAGCACCUUCCUGUGCGGCACCGCGAGUACGUGAAGAACUGCCGCAAGCAGCUCAGCAAGGUGGCCAGCACGAUGAAGCAGUACGCCGUGUCGCACCCGCACAUACGUCUUCUGAUGCAGCACCAGGAGACCCCCAACUCAGCCGUCGUCACGCUCGUUUCGCUCACCGGCUCUGGCGAUGCAACGCGCAGUGUGACGGAGGCGUACGGCGGCCUUUGCACCUCGCACAUGCAGCGUGUGCACUGGAGCUUGUCGUUCGGCACCUUCGCCGGACUCGUGUCGAAGGUAAGCGGCGGCGGGCGACUAAGCGGCGACCAUCAGGUGUUUGCCCUUGACGGGCGGCUCGUCGACCUGCCGCGUUUGGGCAAGGCGCUCAACGACGCCUUCAUCCAAUGCCUCCCGAACGCCUCCCAGCGGCUGCACGUUGCCUUCUUCCUCCAGGUAAAGACGAACGCUUCACUUCAGUACGACGUAAACCUUACCCCCAACAAGCGCAAGGUGUUGCUUGCGCAAGAGGAGCGCUUGGCGGACGAGUUGUACCAGUGCGCGCUGCAAGAGUUUGGCUCGGCCUUGCAGGAGGUCGACCUGGAUCGUGGCCAACGUAUCGCGCAGACCCGCGCCGCUGAUGUGCGUGCCACGGAGCUGACGAAGCUGACGCGAACACCGGUUUCAGCCACGUCGCUCACGCAGUUCACGUUCAAGCGAGCGAAGAUGGAGGAAACGGAUACGGGCGGCCGCGUUGCCGCUGGCGCCCUGGACGCCCACAGUGGAGAGUCGUACCUCAGCUCCACGGCUGGCUCCUCCUCGGUGAUCGACCUCCCAAAGCUUGGCAGCCUUCUGUACGGCAAUGGCGCAGCCGACGAUGACGGCUCCGGCACGGACAGGGAUGGCGAGAGGGCUGAAUCCACUCCACUCUUGCUGCCCUCCUCGCUAUCCAGCAUUAGCGGUGGCGGCGAGGACGACGAGGACAGCAAGGAAAGCUCCCGCAGCGCUGUCGAAGACAAGAGCGAAGGCAGCGACCCACCCGCCCUCAAGUCAUCCGCAGAUGUUGAUGACCAUGAAGACUGCUGUUGCGGUUGGCACUUGGCUGACAACGCGAAAGGCAUGCGCUCGGAAUCAGUUGCAGUCGAGGUUACGCGGCUCUCUGACGAGGGCAGUCAGCGGCGGGGCGGGGGCAGCUGCUAUCAGUGCGCGUACCCGGAUCUCAGCGAGCUCGUGCAGGAGCCCUUCUCCGCGGACCCAGCCGAUGCGGUGGCGUUGUCGGCGUCAGCAAAAAUGCGCAGCCGGUCCUCUUCUCGCACCCUCGGUGCCCAGACGGCCGACGACCUGAACCACUACUUCACCAAGAAUUCCUUCAAGGAGAUGCGGGUGAUUGGGCAGUUUAACCACGGCUUCAUCAUUGCCGUGCUCCCCAACGGUGACGUGUUCGUCGUCGAUCAGCACGCAUCAGAUGAGAAGUAUAACUACGAGCGACUUGUGCGCGCGUACGAGGCAACGCCACAGCCCUUGGUGAUGCCGGUGUCCGUGGCCAUGAGUGCUCACGAGGUGGACCUCGCCGUGGAGCACAAGCUGACUCUUCAGCAGCACGGCUUCAAGGUAAGCCGAGGAAGCGACGAUACGAAGCUGCUGGUGUAUUCGCUGCCGGUGUUGCCGUACGACGUGGUGAGCGCGUCGGAUGUGAUGGAGCUGGUGCAGCAACUCGUACAAUACGGCACCAUCACGAAGCCGCUGCGUGCGGUGUGGCACUCCAUGGCCACGAAGGCGUGCCGCAGCAGCAUCAUGAUUGGCACCCCGCUCACGGUGAAGCGCAUGAAGCUCAUCCUCGAGCGACUAAGCCAGCUGGAUCAGCCGUGGAACUGCCCGCAUGGUCGACCAACGCUGCGGCUGCUAUGCAGCAUAGCAGAUCUUCAGAGAGGUGGUGCGCUGCUACGAUGAGUAUGUUGCAAAGCCGGAGACCUAUGCCGGUAAAUACGCGCGCACAUCAUUGCCCACUAAAUUGCACAACUCCUCUGCACGCGUACACGCAUAGAGAGGCACGCGAUGAUAGCAACGAGAAUGUGGGAGCGCAUCAACAUUGCGGCUCUGUUUGUUUUUGCUUGCCCCCCUCCCCACUCUUUUCCUCAUGAGAGGAUAAGGUCCGAUGAGGAGGGGGGUCAUGAUAACGGUGCUGGGGCUAAGUGAAAAGGACGCAGAUUGAAGGGGGACCAUAUGCACGGUCGACCCCUUCCACACGACCUGCUUCGCCCGUGCUGUCUUUCCGUGGGGCGCCUCUGUUUCCUUGCGCUCGUGCGCUG
rnacentral:misc_RNA from 1 species